UACGUAGGUGGCAAGCGUUGUCCGGAAUUAUUGGGCGUAAAGCGCACGUAGGCGGAUCUUUAAGUCAGAGGUGAAAUCCCAAGGCUCAACCUUGGAACUGCCUUUGAUACUGGGGAUCUUGAGUCCGGGAGAGGUGAGUGGAACUGCGAGUGUAGAGGUGAAAUUCGUAGAUAUUCGCAAGAACACCAGUGGCGAAGGCGGCUCACUGGCCCGGUACUGACGCUGAGGUGCGAAAGCGUGGGGAGCAAACAGG
rnacentral:rRNA from 1 species